CAGAUUUCUGUUUUCAGUCGUCAAUUUUGUACAAAACUAUAACAGGCAUUUACUUUUACUCAAUUAUUCUGCAAUUAAAGAGAGAAAGAGGAAAGAAAGAGUAAAUACCGUAAAAUUAGCCGUAUUCAAUUGUAAACCUACUGACAAUUUUGAGUCGGUCAGUGGCUUUAAUCUAGUCACCUUUAAACAGGCUGCAUACAUAUCACUAAGGACUCAUAGAAACGAUGACAAGGGCCACAACACAACACUGAGAAUACGUUUAGCCCUUAACAAGCGAUACCGCUAGGGUCUCGUGUUAAACAUUUUAUAGAAAUAAACUAUAAAAUAUUAUUAUCUGCUACCACUAAAAGUUCAACAAACACCUGAGCUCUUUAUUUGUAGUUAUUUAACAUUUUUAUCUAAAAUGUACUUUGUUCCUAAUAGCAUGAUAUACUUUAUUAUAAAAAUAAAAACUUUGAUAACAAUA